rnacentral:snRNA from 1 species
CGACUCUGGUUUCUCUUCAUUACGCACAAGCCUUUCGCCUUUUACUAAAGACUUCCGUGGAGAGGAACACUCCAACGUAUUUUUGGAGCGGCUUUGCUUCCUGCAGAGCC